ACUUUGAGCGGUGGAUCACUCGGCUCGUGUGUCGAUGAAGAGUGCAGCCAACUGUGUGAAUUAAUGUGAACUGCAUACUGCUUUGAACAUCGACAUCUUGAACGCAUAUUGCGGCUACGGGCUAGCCCGUGGCCACGCCUGUCCGAGGGUCGGCU
rnacentral:rRNA from 1 species